GGGGACGUUUUGGAUUCGACAGGGAUAGGUCGUGCUUGCGUUGCGAGUCGAGGGGUCGGCCUCGUUAAAACGCACAAGCCAAUUAACUGGCAAAGAAAACAACAACUUCGCUUUAGCUGCAUAAGCUAAGCGGUCUCACCUCUCCAUCGCCCAUGUGGAGUGGCUGAGACUCAACUGAAGUGGGAUACGCCUUGCUCCCUCCGCCUGAGGGAGCGGGAAGAGACCAAUCAGGCUAGCUGCACAGAAGCCUGUCUUCGGGCUGACGUGUUAGCGAAAUGCUAAUACGAAGACUACGCUCGUAGAAGCGUAAGUGUCGUUGUCUCUGGACGUGGGUUCAAUUCCCACCGUCUCCAUAU
rnacentral:tmRNA from 2 species